AUUGAACGCUGGCGGCGUGCCUAACACAUGCAAGUCGAGCGGUAACAGGUGUAGCAAUACAUGCUGACGAGCGGCGAACGGGUGAGUAAUGCUUCGGAAUCUGCCCAUGUAGUGGGGAAUAACCAGCCGAAAGGUUGGCUAAUACCGCAUACGACCUACGGGUGAAAGCAGGGGAUCGCAAGACCUUGCGCUAUUGGAUGAGCCGAAGUCGGAUUAGCAGUUGGUAGGGUAACGGCCUACCAAGGCGACGAUCCGUAGCUGGUCUGAGAGGACGACCAGCCACACUGGGACUGAGACACGGCCCAGACUCCUACGGGAGGCAGCAGUGGGGAAUAUUGGACAAUGGGGGCAACCCUGAUCCAGCGACGCCGCGUGUGUGAAGAAGGCCUGCGGGUUGUAAAGCACUUUUAGUGGG
rnacentral:rRNA from 1 species